ACCUCUAAAGGAUAAUAGCCUAUCCAUUGGUCUUAGGAACCAAAAACUCUUGGUGCAAGUCCAAGUAGUGGUA
rnacentral:tRNA from 1 species